GGUGUUCUUGAGUUACAGCUAAAGGAACAAAGGGGGGGGGGAGGACACAGGCAGGAAUUGCGAGAGGAGAGUCCACAUUUUCCAGGGUUUCUUCUACAACUGUUCACUGUCCUUCCUAAUGUUUUAAAUCUCCUUUCUCUUUCUCUCUCUUUCUCUUUUUCUCUCCCUAAAAAUAGUAGCUAUCAGGGAGGGGGGUUGGGGGGUGAAGCCAAAAAAAAAAAAAAAAAGGCACUACGGGAUGUUAACAGUUUAGAAGAAACCCGGGGAUCGCCACGUAGCUAGGAAAAAUCGAAGAAGGUUAAUUCCGGGAGGCAGCAGCAGCAGGUUACACAUACAAAGUGAACAGAAUGGGCCCAAUCCUACCAGUCCCUUCUUGAGUGACCUUUUUAAUGCUGAAA